rnacentral:rRNA from 1 species
CAGCAGCCGCGGUAAUACGGAGGGCGCGAGCGUUACCCGGAUUUACUGGGCGUAAAGGGCGUGUAGGCGGCCUGGGGCGUCCCAUGUGAAAGGCCGCGGCUCAACCGUGGAGGAGCGUGGGAUACGCUCAGGCUAGAGGGUGGGAGAGGGUGGUGGAAUUCCCGGAGUAGCGGUGAAAUGCGCAGAUACCGGGAGGAACGCCGAUGGCGAAGGCAGCCACCUGGUCCACUUCUGACGCUGAGGCGCGAAAGCGUGGGGAGCAAACAGGAUUAGAUACCCGCGUAGUCCCUGUCUCUUAUAC